UACGUAGGGGGCGAGCGUUGUCCGGAAUUAUUGGGCGUAAAGAGCGUGUAGGCGGUUCGGUAAGUCUGCCGUGAAAACCUGGGGCUCAACCCCAGGCGUGCGGUGGAUACUGCCGGGCUAGAGGGUGGUAGAGGCGAGUGGAAUUCCCGGUGUAGCGGUGAAAUGCGCAGAUAUCAGGAGGAACACCGAUGGCGAAGGCAGGUCUCUGGGCCGAUACUGACGCUGAGGAGCGAAAGCGUGGGGAGCGAACAGG
rnacentral:rRNA from 1 species